GCUUACGGCCAUACCACCCUGAAUGCGCCCGAUCUCGUCUGAUCUCGGAAGCUAAGCAGGGUCAGGCCUGGUUAGUACUUGGAUGGGAGACCGCCUGGGAAUACCAGGUGCUGUAAGCU
ensembl:rRNA 5S_rRNA 5S ribosomal RNA